CCUACGGGUGGCAGCAGUGAGGAAUAUUGGUCAAUGGACGAGAGCCUGAACCAGCCAAGUCGCGUGAGGGAUGACUGCCCUGUGUGUUGUAAACUUCUUUUGUAUGGGAAUAAAGCAGGGGAUUCGUACCCGCUUGUGGGUACCAGAUGAAAAAGCAUCGGCUAACUCCGUGCCAGCAGCCGCGGUAAUACGGAGGAUCCGAGCGUUAUCCGGAUUUAUUGGGUUUAAAGGGAGCGUAGGUGGCUUGUUAAGUCAGUCGGGAAAGUUUGGGGCUCAACCGUCAAAUAGCAGUUGAAACUGGCAGUCUGGAGUAGAGUAGAGGUGGGCGGAAUGCGUGGUGUAGCGGUGAAAUGCUUAGAUAUCACGAAGAACCCCGAUUGCGAAGGCAGCUUACUGGCCUGACACUGACACUGAUGCUCGAAAGUGUGGGUAUCGAACAGGAUUAGAUACCCGAGUAGUC
rnacentral:rRNA from 1 species